AUGGAAGUGAUGAUUAUUUCCCCAAAUGAUCGAAGCUGAAAUAACUGAGCGAAUUAUAUCUCUGUAUUGCGAGACCACCAAGCCAGGUGUAUCUGAUCCAU